UUACGGCCACAUCACGUUGAAACACCGGUUCCCGUACGAUCACCGAAGUUAAGCAACGUCAAGCAUUGCCAGUACGGAGAUGGGCGUUCACUUGGGGAUAUCAGGUGCUGUAG